rnacentral:lncRNA from 1 species
GCACCGCCGAGGCUCGGGGGCUUGGCCCGGCCGCCCGCAGACCUGGGCCUCGCACCUCGCGCCCGGAUGCCGCUCUCUCCCCGCGCGGUCACCCGUUCCCUGGGAAGCAGAGUGGGCAGCUGUGGCAGAUGGGACUGAUGGGACGAGGACGACGCGUGGAAAUGACUGUGAGGGUGGACAGAGGCCUGGGGUAAGGAAAGACUUCUCAGGGUACUUAGAUUGGGUGAGCCCUGAAGGAGAACCUGAGAGCAAAGAACUGGACUUUAGAGCUAGGCAGUCUGGCUCAGGAUCAGAUUGGUUCCGAGACCUUGAGUAAAUCUCUUCUCACCUCUGGGCCCCACUUGCCCCAUUUGCUAACUGGGGGGUUUUAGAUUAUGAGAGAGGUGCUGACUUCUCUAACAUGUGCUCCCUUUUGGCAACUGAAGAUCCUUAAUAUGCCAAGCACUGUAGUGGUAAAUAAAACAGGCACAUCCCUCGUCCUCAUAGUUUAGGCUCGUAGAGAAAACAGACUGAAAAACAAAAUGGACACACAUAUGGUCCUAUGAUUGCAAUUGGUAGUCGGUCUGUUAAGGAGUAUAAGGGGCUAGGAGACAGCACAGAGGGGAACCUUAUGCUUGCCUUCCUGAAGAAACAGCAUUUAAGAACUCUGAACGGAGAAGGUGGAAAGGGCCUUCAGCGGAAGUCCAGGUUACUUACUAAAGCGGAAUGGAAGCCAACAGAUACCAGCG